rnacentral:rRNA from 1 species
AUCCUGGCUCAGGAUGAACGCUAGCUACAGGCUUAACACAUGCAAGUCGAGGGGCAGCAUGUCGGUUGCUUGCAACCGAUGAUGGCGACCGGCGCACGGGUGAGUAACGCGUAUCCAACCUACCCUUGUCCAUCGGAUAACCCGUCGAAAGGCGGCCUAACACGAUAUGCGGUUCUCAGCAGGCAUCUAACGAGAACGAAAUGUGAAGGAGAAGGAUGGGGAUGCGUCUGAUUAGCUUGUUGGCGGGGUAACGGCCCACCAAGGCAACGAUCAGUAGGGGUUCUGAGAGGAAGGUCCCCCACAUUGGAACUGAGACACGGUCCAAACUCCUACGGGAGGCAGCAGUGAGGAAUAUUGGUCAAUGGACGGGAGUCUGAACCAGCCAAGUAGCGUGCAGGAUGACGGCCCUAUGGGUUGUAAACUGCUUUUAUAGGGGGAUAAAGUGUGCCACGUGUGGCAUAUUGCAGGUACCCUAUGAAUAAGGACCGGCUAAUUCCGUG